rnacentral:rRNA from 1 species
UACAGACGGUCCCAAGCGUUGUUCGGAUUCACUGGGCGUAAAGGGUGCGUAGGUGGCGGGGUCAGUCUGACGUGAAAUCUCCGGGCUUAACCCGGAAAUGGCGUUGGAAACUACCUUGCUUGAGGGUUGGAGGGGGGACUGGAAUACUUGGUGUAGCAGUGAAAUGCGUAGAUAUCAAGUGGAACACCAGUGGCGAAGGCGAGUCCCUGGACAACUCCUGACACUGAGGCACGAAAGCUAGGGGAGCAAACGGG